UUUAGGGUCGAACCCACAACUUUUGUUCUGCUAAUGCAAUGCUCUACAAGUUGAGCUACAGGAACCUAUGGAAAGGGUGUCUGGCCUUCAGAGUCACAUCUGUACAUAUGGAUCAGCAGUCAUGACUCAGUGUAGCUCUGAUGGACAGCCGCCUUACAUGAUGGUUUGAAGAUUCAGAUGGUGCCUGGAAGAGAAUAACAGACGCUUCGAUGUUGGAGAAAAAUGAAUGCACAGCUGGAAGAGGUUUGUCAUUC